rnacentral:rRNA from 1 species
CAGAGGGUGCAAGCGUUAAUCGGAAUUACUGGGCGUAAAGGGAGCGUAGGUGGCUCUAUAAGUCAGAUGUGAAAUCCCCGGGCUCAACCUGGGAACUGCAUCUGAAACUGUAGAGCUAGAGUAUGUGAGAGGAAGGUAGAAUUCCAGGUGUAGCGGUGAAAUGCGUAGAGAUCUGGAGGAAUACCGAUGGCGAAGGCAGCCUUCUGGCAUAAUACUGACACUGAGGCUCGAAAGCGUGGGUAGCAAACAGGAUU